ACACAGGUUGUGACAGGGAGAAGUGAAACCAGGGCAGAUGGGGACUCCCCAACACUGGGCUUCCCUGCCCCCCACGCCGCCCUGGGGCCAGAGUCCCUGAGAGGCGGGCCUGGGGACCUGGGACUUGGCCUGGACGCCUCACCUACUGCACAGAACGCUCUUUGUCCCACUGUGUCCCUGAGCUGUGGACCAGGAGCUGUGCAAGAUCUUUGUGAAGUCUGUGCAGCGUUGCAUUGCCCUGGCCCAGCUCCUAGUGGAGGAGAACUUGCCAGCCAUUGCCACCACUGUAGGCGGCCCCGAGAGGAGAGUUUAAAGGUCUUCAAUAACGAAUUCUUGUGGCCAGCAAACUAUGUGGCCAAGGCAUGGACAUUAAGCAGGUGAACUCUGCCAUCAACUACCACCUGCCUGAUGAUUCCCACACCUACCUGCAUCGGGAGGCCUGUGCAGGCCAGUUGCCCGAGGGGAUUGUCCAUCACAUUUAUGUCAAGUGAAAACAAUGCCAAGAUUCUCAGUGAGGUGCAGGGUCAAACUGAGGUCGAUGGUACUGAACUGCCUGAUGAGAUGGACAUUUCCUCCUCCAUUGCAGCCAUGGGAGAGGACACACCCAUUCACAGAGCCUGAUGCAGGUCUCACACCCAGGAACCAGGAGAUCAUACAUGACUUGAGCUGAAAUCAAGAGUCAGAUGCCCAACCGACUUACCUACCCAGGCACCCCUACAGUUUAUACUUCCUAAUUAAUUUCUUUUUAAAAAUAUUUUAACUGUGAAUAUAGUUGAAAGACACGAUUACAUUAGUUGCAGGUGCACAACACAGUGACUCAAAUUCUGAAUACAUUCUCUGUUUUUGAGAAAGAGACAGCCAGAGCAGGGAAGAGAGGCAAAGAGGGAGGGAGGGAGAGAGAGAGGGGGGGGGGAUAAGAGAAUCUCAAGCAGGCUGAUUCCUGUGGGGCUGGAUCCCAUGACCCUGGGACCAUGAGCGGAGAACCCACUGCCACCCAGGGGACCUUCACCCUCUGUCUACACCAUGCUGUGCUCACCAGAGUGUAGCUGCCACCUGUCACCAGACAGUGAUGUUGCAGUAUCACUGAUGAGAUUCCCUGUGCUGUGCCUUUUGUUCCUCUGACCUGUUCCUUCCAUACCUGGAGCCUGUGUCUCCCACUCCCCUCACCCACUGUGCCCAUCCUCCCAACCUCCUUCCCUCUGGAAGUCAUCCAUGAGUUCUCUGUAUUUAUAGGUCUGAUUCUGCUGUUUGCUUGUCCAUUUAUUCAUUUGUCCUGUUUUGUAAGUUCCACAUAGGAGUGAGAUCAUGUGGUAUUUGUGUUUCUCAGUCUGAUUUCUUUCACGUAGCAGACACACUGCCCUGUUUGUCCAUCCAUGUUGUCACAAGUGGCAAGAUCUCAUCCUUUUUGUGGCCGCAUAAUAUUCUAGUGUGUGUGUAUAUAUGUGUGUGUAUAUACCACACAUCUUCCUUAGCCAUUUGUCUGUGGGGGGAACACAAGUUGUAUCCCUGUUGCUUUUGAACACAACCUCACUCACUGAACAUCAUUUGGGAUGAGGGCGCCCCCUGGUGUCCGGGCCCCUGUCCAGGUGCUGGACCUGAAGGAGACCCUAGGGAGGGCCUGGCUGAGGAGGAGAAAGGCAGCUGGGUCUUCUCUCCUUAGUCCUGUGGCCGCACGUGGGGUGAAAGGUAAGGGGACAUCCCCCACUGCUCUGCUCUUGGGUGGAUACUGACUGAGAAGCUUUAGUGGGGUCUGGACUGUAACCCAGGUAGAGAUGUCUGAGCAGAAACCUGGGUGUCAGUGGGGAAAGGAAGAAGUUUCUGAGCAGCCCUGGAGUCCACAGGGGUCAGGCUCAGGGGUGAGGAGGGAUUGCAGGAGAGGAGAGCUCAGGAGCCCGUGCCAUUGCUGAGGUGUCUGUGUCCCUGUGCACCUCCUCCAGCCCCGUGAUGGUGAUACAGGGAAAACCGAAAAGUAGAAACACUUCCUUGGACUUCUAUUUCUAAACGUUUCAAAACUCAGUGAAACGAAAAUCAUUUCUGAUGUGGAAAUAGCAACUCAAUGUCUAUACAAUGCUCCAUAGUGUGGACAUGUACACUCACAGUUUGUGAGUUGACCCCACAACAGGCGCUGGGCUGACAGCACUGAGUCCGCUAGGGAUUCUCUCUCUCUCCCUCCCUUUCCCUCUCUC